CACGUAGGGUGCGAGCGUUGUCCGGAAUUAUUGGGCGUAAAGAGCUUGUAGGCGGUUUGUCGCGUCUGCUGUGAAAUCUCAAGGCUCAACCUUGAGCUUGCAGUGGGUACGGGCAGACUAGAGUGUGGUAGGGGAGACUGGAAUUCCUGGUGUAGCGGUGAAAUGCGCAGAUAUCAGGAGGAACACCAAUUGCGAAGGCAGCUCGCUGGGACGUUACUGACGCUGAGACGCGAAAGCGUGGGGAGCAAACAGG
rnacentral:rRNA from 1 species